UGCGUAGGCGGCUUUUUAAGUCGGAUGUGAAAUCCCUGAGCUUAACUUAGGAAUUGCAUUUGAAACUGUAAUACUUGAGUACUGGAGAGGUAAGUGGAAUUCCUAGUGUAGCGGUGAAAUGCGUAGAUAUUAGGAGGAACACCAGUGGCGAAGGCGACUUACUGGACAGAUACUGACGCUGAGGCGCGAAAGCGUGGGGAGCAAACAGGAUUAGAUACCCGUGUA
rnacentral:rRNA from 1 species